rnacentral:rRNA from 1 species
AGUCACUGACAUUUAGAUACCCGUGUAGUCCCAGCCGUAAACAAUGUGCGUUAGGUGUGUCGGUAACCACGCGUUACUGAUGCGCCGAAGAGAAAUCGUGAAACGCACCACCUGGGAAGUACGGUCGCAAGGCUGAAACUUAAAGGAAUUGGCGGGGGAGCACCACAACAGGUGGAGCCUGCGGUCUAAUUGGAUUCAACGCCGGACAUCUCACCGGAUAAGACAGCUGAAUGAUUGUCAAUCUGAAGGUUUUACAUGACUAGCUG